rnacentral:sRNA from 1 species
GGGCGGGCGGGCGGCGGCACGUGGAUGCCAGCCUGGCGCGCGUCUCCAGGCCGGUGGAUGGCGCGGCCAAUCCAGGUGAAGCCUGCGGACAUGCCUACGCCCAGGCUCUCAUGCAACAGCAGACAACAGUCCUGUCCACCUCGGGCAGCUACCUGAGUCCCGGCGUGGCCUUCUCACCCUGUCACAUCCAGCAGAUAGGCGCCGUCAGCCUCAACGGGCUGCCUGCCACACCCAUCGCUCCUGCCUCUGGUGUCGUGCCCUUUCCAGGUGGGCACCCUGCCCUGGAAACCGUCUAUGCCAAUGGCCUUGUGCCCUACCCAGCUCAGAGCCCGACUGUGGCCGAGACACUGCAUCCUGCCUUCUCCGGAGUCCAGCAGUACACAGCCAUGUACCCCACCGCGGCCAUCACGCCCAUCGCGCACAGCGUCCCCCAGCCGCCGCCCCUCCUGCAGCAGCAGCAGCGAGAAGGUCCCGAGGGCUGUAACCUGUUUAUCUACCACCUCCCCCAGGAGUUUGGAGACACGGAGCUGACGCAGAUGUUCCUACCCUUCGGCAAUAUCAUUUCCUCCAAGGUGUUUAUGGAUC